rnacentral:rRNA from 1 species
UGGGGAAUUUUGCACAAUGGGGGAAACCCUGAUGCAGCGACGCCGCGUGAUUUAGAAGGCCUUCGGGUUGUAAAAAUCUUUUGUAUGGGAAGAAAAUGACAGUACCAUACGAAUAAGGACCGGCUAAUUACGUGCCAGCAGCCGCGGUAAUACGUAAGGUCCGAGCGUUGUCCGGAAUCAUUGGGCGUAAAGGGUACGUAGGCGGAUAAGCAAGUUAGAAGUGAAAUCCUAUAGCUCAACUAUAGUAAGCUUUUAAAACUGCUCAUCUUGAGGUAUGGAAGGGAAAGUGGAAUUCCUAGUGUAGCGGUGAAAUGCGCAGAUAUUAGGAGGAAUACCGGUGGCGAAGGCUACUUUCUGGCCAUAUACUGACGCUGAGGUACGAAAGCGGGGGUAGCAAACAGG